GUUAGUUUAUAUGUUAUUCUCUUUUUCUUUUUCAACAUCGUUUCAUCUUUCUAUUUUUCACUGUUGUCGCUAUGUUUCAAGUUUAUGCUUUCUAUCAAUUUUUUUAGAAACAUUCUUCUCCUUUUCUCUAAUACAUAAUCAUUUUUCUCUCUCCAGAACUUAGGUUGAAGAUGCCACUGGAGUACUUCUAUUUGCCUGUUCAAUUCAUCUCAAAAAAAUGGAAAAUCAGAGUGAUGGUCUCUCGGAUUUGGGACUACAUCUAAAGUUGUUCUGGGAAUGAAAGCUAUCCUUGUGGAUGAAAAGGGAAAAAGAAAGGAUACGUCAUCUUCUUACCACUGAUGAAGAACGUGAAAAUGACAUUGGUAAUUACUCUUAUGCAAAUUAUCAUUCUUUUGUGUUAUAUGCUGACUUUGUUAUUUUACAUGUUCGUUUUGUUGAUUGAUUUACAUUCAUGCAUUUUUAUGUUCUAUAGUGCUCACAUACAUGUGAUUUUAAUAAUACAUAUUUUAAUUAGA